ensembl:miRNA predicted gene, 27943
UUAAAGCACAGACUCUAAUUCUAGAGGUCUGGGGUAGGACCCGAGAUUCUGCGUUUCUAACAAGCUCCCAGGUGAUGCUAAUGGAACUGAUUCGGGUUCAGCACUUCGAGAGAAGUAA